GACCGGAGGGAGAAGGGGAGCUCGGCUGUGGAGGGAGGAGGGCAGCCUGCCCCCACCCCCCAACGCCCUCCCUCUCCUGCUCCCAGGCGUCACUAAAGUCCAGGAAAAUUAUGCUAAUGAGGACAAACGGCUCUCACAAAGGGGCUAUCUUGCUGGGCUCUAUUUCUUAGGAAUUCGUUUGAGAAUAGAAUAGAACCACGUAUUCCUCUGCCCUGGACACUUCUAAUUGUGGGGUGAGGGGAAAAAGAACCAAGAAAAGUGAGUUUCCCAGACUUUGCCCAGUUUAUUUCACCUGCAACCCCCAAACAGAUCUUUAGGUGGGGGUGUGGGGAGCUGGGAUAAGGCUUUUCUCUAGGGACCCCAAAGAGCCAACUGGGCUCUCUUUGGUUACAUUUUUAGGCAGAAAUUGCUGACAUCUUAGCAGCCAGGAGGGAAGUGUCCUGGGAGAGACAUGCACUUGUUCCAGCAGUGAAAUGGGAUGCUCCAGGCUCAGGAAAAGAAAAUGCCAAGACAGAAAACCAUGCUCUUCCCGUAGGAAGAACCCAUGAUGAGCCCCGAUGAAAGAGGGGAGAAGACCCGCUGUCUGCGAAGUCCUAAAGGUUAGAAAUACAGCAAUCUUUCUCAUGCCGAAGGAAAGGCAAAAGGAUCUAAGGAAUUGCAAGGCAGUGAUACAAGUUUUCCUUAACAGCGGGACUGGGACUGUCGACAAUUUCUUAACUCACAGCCUCCUCAGUCGCCUCGGUCGACAAGGAAAGCAGCCCACGCAGCGGCCGCCGCGCCCGUGCCCGUGGCCUUUACUUGCUUUUGCCCUGAAGUUCAGUGUGGUGGUUUGGGGCUUGCAGGAAGAAAUAAGCACACCCCCUCUGACUCUCCACAACCCAUCUUUGCCUUCCGCAACCGCUUCUCCUGGCCAUCGCUGGCUUUGGGGUAGGCUCUUUGUCUGCCUGACGCCCCGCAUUCACAGGGCAAGAAGCUUAAAGGAAUCCAAUUCCAAACUGCUCUGAAGUUAAAUAUUGACCAGAACCUCUUUCAACAGGCCGCGGUUGCCAGGAACCGUGGAGGGCCAACUCCUCCCAACCGCCCUGGUGCAAAGUCCCACGAGGCAAAGAGUUUUGGAGCAGCGCUUACCUAGAAAGAUGUUUAAAUCUGAACCACAAAUUGUCUCCAACUCCAGGCGCUCAGGGAAUCGCCUUUUCCGGUGUCCAGGCGCUCUGCAGACAAAUAAACAGCAGAAGGUGAAUGGCGGCUGUGAGGGAAGGGAGUUGGAGGCCGGGAGUGGGAAGCGCGGCUCCUGUGGGCGCCAAGGUGGCCCUGGAGGUGACGCGAACACCAAGGAGUCGCCAGGGCACUCGUCCAUGCGGCGCACUCAUUGCUCGAAAUGUUCCAGUCUACAAAUGGCCCGAAGAUGGUGAUUUAUUUUUGUAAAAUAAAUACAUACUCCAUUUCCACACCCA